rnacentral:rRNA from 1 species
CUACGGGGGGCUGCAGUGAGGAAUAUUGCACAAUGGGGGGAACCCUGAUGCAGCAACGCCGCGUGGAGGAUGACGCAUUUCGGUGUGUAAACUCCUUUUAUAUGUCAAGAAAAUGACGGUAGCAUAUGAAUAAGCACCGGCUAACUCCGUGCCGGCAGCCGCGGUAAUAGCGGAGGGUGCAAGCGUUACUCGGAAUCACUGGGCGUAAAGGACGCGUAGGCGGGUUGGAAAGUCAGGUGUGAAAUCCUACAGCUUAACUGUAGAACUGCACUUGAAACUUCUAAUCUAGAGUAUGGGAGGGGGAGAUGGAAUUAGUGGUGUAGGGGUAAAAUCCGUAGAUAUCACUAGGAAUACCUAAAGCGAAGGCGAUCUCCUGGAACAUUACUGACGCUAAGGCGUGAAAGCGUGGGGAGCAAACAGGAUUAGAUACCCUUGUAGUC